rnacentral:sRNA from 1 species
ACUGGGUGUGGUGGCGCAUGUCUGUAAUCCCAGUGGCUAGGGAAGCUGAGGCAGGAGAACCACGAGUUCAAAGCCAGCUUCCCCAGAAGAGAAGUGCUAAGCAACUUUGAGACCCUGUCUCUA